AACCUUAUCCACCAUUAAUUUAUCUAACCCCCUUUUAAAGCCAUCUAGCUGGCGGUCUUCCAGUAAUGAAUCAUUAUAUAAAACUUAUGUAAAAGAUGGGGGACUGAAUGUUGCAAAUAGUUAAGCCAGACAUUGAUUUAAUAUGAUAACCAAAACAAUCCCAUGAAUCAACUUAAAAUGUAGUGACAUAAAUAGUGACUUAUGCUAACUUGACUAAAACCUGACCUCAGUCCUUGGGGCGAGGCAUACUUGCUGGUCCUAGAUCUCUAACCAAGAAAUCCUUAUUUCGCCCCUUAGAUGUGCUCCUUCAGCAUAUUAUUCUCUUUUUUACCGUAAGCAUCAUCUUCCUUCCUUUCCUCUAUAGCUGACUUUGUGUGGAAUUUUAGACUGUUAACUCCUUGUGUUUGCCUAACACCAUGUUGCUACUCUGUAAAAUGCUGCAUAUAUUGAUGGUGGUACAUUUAAUCAUCAUCAUUAUAUCAGUGUUCCCUUUGUAACAUGAGCAUUUAAUUUCUAGAAAAAGUCACGUUGGGUCUCAAGUCUACAUUGACCUAUGAUUUGGACAUUCUUACCUAUUAGUUCUGAUAUGUGCAGACUCCUUGUCAUUAAUUCAGUGAUGAAGGAAAUGCACUCUGCGCCUGCUCAGGAUAUUUCUAUUUAUUCCUACAUCGUGCACUUCCCCCUUCUUUAAGCUCUAACACUGAGCCAUUGCACAAAUUAUUAAGCCCUGCUUUGCAGCUGUCGUUGCCUAUAAAGACUCAUUGGUGCCCCCUUCCUUUCUCAAACAGGUUCUACUCUGCACAGUGAUAGAACUGCUAAAGAACUGUUUAAGUUUUAAUUCUAUGGAGAUGGAGCACUGGACAGUAACUUUGGGCUACUUUAUAAGUAUCCCUUAUCCAAGGUCGUUUCAUCCAACCAUUGCAAUAUACUGCAAAAAGAAAGAAAGACCAGUAUUUAUUAAAUGAGUCAUCACAGAAUGUCUUUCAAGUCUAACCCUCUAGCACAGGAGUAGACAACCCAUUGCCCUCCAGACGUUGCUUUGCUACAGCUCCCAUCAUCCUUGGUCCCGGUAGCUGGGACUGAUGGGAGUUGAGUCCAGCAGCAGCUGUUCCUCUUCUAGCCUCUCCUCUCCUCUGGCUCUCUUAUGCAAAAUUAAGUACUCUUUUGUAAAAUCUAUGCAUCUUAUUUCCAAAUAUAUAAUGUAGGUGUCAGUUAAGUAGCAAGUUUCCUUCUUAGUUUUAAACAGAACAAUUUAAUUCUCCAUAACUUAAAUUUAUAAUGCUCACAUCUACCAUGUGUGCUCAAAUGUUAGCAUCAGAUCCUGAAAAUAUAAAACUAUUUUAAGAGCAGGAUUGAAUUUUGUAUAGGUGCACUUACAAUUCUUUUCAAAGUAAUGGAAGUUUACCCACUGAAAAGCACAGGGCAGACUCUUCACAUGUACGCUGAUAACAGGACAGGCGGGGAGAAGAAAUUUAGCACACGUUCCUCCUGCUUGGUCUGUGAUUUUGCUCAUUCAUUUUGCAUUCUUUCUUACAGAGAAUGAAUUUUUGGAUUAUCUGUUAAGUCAAACAAGACAUUUUGGUCCGAGAGACGGAUUUGGUCAUUUGGAAUUUGCACAUAAUUUUGCUCCGAAGCAAGCAAAGGUGGGAGAAUGCAUUUAGUGUUUAGUUUUGAGUGGAAAGUAUGUGAUUUCAUUUACUGAGCUGCUGUUCCAUUUGGAAAUCUCAUUAUGACUUCCAAACUUUGGCUUCAUUUAAACUCUUAACAAAAUUUGAUAGGUCCAUGUAGCAUCUUCUCAAUACAACAGGCCGACGCUUCUGAUGCUGUCUCAUUCUCAAAUGAUCAAGCAGCAACAAUAUUUUCAGAGCCGCAUGUACUCAUCAGAAUUGAAAAUAUAUUUUAAUAUGUACCAUUUUCAUUAUAAGAAUUUAAAAAUAAUAAUACAGCACAAAACAUGCACCAAAUGUUGCAUGUUUGCAAUGUCACACAUGUUUUGCAUGUGUUUAACAUGUUUAAUGUUUGCAGUGCACAUCAUGUGCUUGACUGCACAUAAACAUAGUUUGCUAUUUAUAUUUUAAAUGGUUUUCUGUCAUAGGCUAUUCAAAAAACACAUUUCAUUGUAAAAGGAAUCCUACAGAUAUUUAUUUAUUUUUUAAAAAAUUAAGAUUCUGUUUCGGCUUGUGCUGUCCAAUCUUUUAUGUGGUAUAAUUUUUUUUUACAUAUUUGUUCUGAAAAUAUAAAGCUGGCACCUGCCCCCUCAUUUCAUAAAGCUGCGACUUUACCCUCUGAUGCCUUGGUAAAGCAGACUAAUAGAAAUCCUUGGCACACAUUAGUUACCUAAGGGAAUAAUAGAACUAUUUGCUGUAAUCGUUUGGCAAAAGGACAUAAACAUAUGGCUUUGGUUUAUAUUCAGCACUGCCAGUUGUGCAAAGUUGCAUGGAUGAGGAACACAACAGCAGUGACAACUCUGAAAUCAGAAGUGAGAAUCAAAAUAAAUCAUCCUCAUUACAGAACCAUCCAAGCUUGUCUCUGGUCUAACAUUUAUUCCGCCGUUAUGCAUUUUCAAAUAUUAGACCCCCUUUGAAAAAUACUCCUUCAAAAAUAUACAUAGCAUUUGGCCAUCAGUAAUCAUGGUGUCCUAGAAUGGAUUACACGGUAUGUAGUCUCAAAUUGAAUCUGUUUUCAGAUUUAGAUUUAGUGUUUGGACUUAUUUAUUUUAGUUUGGGAGGAUAGUAACACAGCUGAAGCAGUCAAAUUUGCACCAUUUGUUUUUCGUUUUGGGGAAGCACUAGCAAUAAUGUUGAAAUGGAAAACACUGUGUUUGAAAAAGAAGUUAUCAAAAUCCAAAAAGCUACACAUCACUGAAAAGAUCCUUCAAUCCAAUUUUUACAUUUUAUACCUGCUGAAGGGGGGGUGAUACAUGACUAAAGAAUUCAUGACGGAGGGGCGGGGAGAGAAGAAUACUUAAGAUUGUUUCUUGGCAAAUGCUAAAAAAUAUGUCAUGGACCUUUUUUGAAGCAAUAGUCUGCAUUGUUCAACAACUUCCUUUGCAUUGUAGAUAACAAUGUAUGAUUUCUACUAAGAGAGUGGGGGGGUGUUUGAAGUAUAAUAUUUCUCCUACUUUAAAUGGAUUAAAAGCAUUCAUAUACACUUUUGUUGAUUUGGCUUUAGUCUCCUAUCCAAACAGUAAUAUUCAUCCUAUUUUAAAUAGAUUUAAAGAUUCCAUAUGCAAUUUUGUUGAUUUGGCUUCAGUCUUCCCUCUAGGCAACAAUUUCCUUUUGAUCUACAUUGUAUAAAUUGCAAGUGAAUUGACAUCUUGUUUGUAACCAAGACAUACAUAUACAAGUGACCAUUGUUAUUCAUAAUAACCCAGUAAAUUUUAUGCCGAUUUACAACCUGAUCCCUGGCAGCAGAACUUUUCUCCAUUUCCAGCACCACAUGAUCUUGCCCUGGACACAUAAUAAACAUUUAAGACUUAGCUUUUGGACUACCCUCUUUUCAAUCUAACGAGUUGUGCUUGGUAGCUACUACCCAGCUCUACGACUUUCUUUCAAAGUCCAAAAAGGUAUUGAUCACUCACAGGCUGUAGUAUCAAGUGGCGACUUGCAAGCAUGGGGUCAUUUAUUGAUUUGCUUCAGCAUUUUGAAUUCAUUGUAAUGUUUAUAUUUCACAUAUUAGUGAUUUGCAGUGCUCUUGAACAGUUUUUAUCUGAAUGCCCCAAUCAUUUUACAAAUACUAAUAAAUUAUCCUUUCAGCGGUACCAGUUUGAGACUUAGUCUCUUCUUUUUAAUUUUUUCUCCUCAUCUCUUUUUUGCUGAGGUGAAUGAGCCAUCACACUAACCACCACAGAUAAAAUGUUUGUGUCACCAUAUGUUAGCUCAAACCCAAACCUUUUCAGUGGGGGCAUUGGACUGAUGGCCAAACUAGAUGACACACUAAAUAUGUAAUCAUACUUGAAUAUCAUUUUCAAUAUCUAUAAAAAGUGAUGGCUCCAGUCCAGAUCAUGGUCAUGGUACAACAUAAGAACCAACUUUUUCUCCCAUGGCAUUUCUCCCUUCAGCUGCUAUUUGCCAAGGAAGGGGAAAUGAUAUGAAUACAAAUGGUGCUUCAACUGAGCUGAUUUUCAGUGCGAAAUAGUAUGGGAAAGGGUUAAUCAUCCUGAUCUGGAUCCUGAUCUGGAUUAACACAUUCCCUUGAUAUUUUUUGUGAUUUUUUUUUUUUUAAAAGGGAGUAAGGUGCACAAAUACAGUCACACAUUUAAAUUGCAAUAUUAUAAACACACACAUUUAUCCGAUACUAAGCUCCAAUGACAUGAAUGAAAUUUACUUCUGUGUAAGACAUUAUUAGGAUUGCCUUUUAAUAUUUUAUGUAGUUGGCCUUUAAGUUAUUGAGUGUUGGCUCAUACAUCUAGCAUCUUCUGGGUGAUGGUUUCUGAGGCUGCAAUUGGGUACCUGUAGACUCAGGAGUGGGCUGGGAUGACAUAAGGAACUGAAGACAUGAACUAUUAUCUCCAUAUAUCUGGCUCCAACACCUUGUGAGGUAGUAGCAACUCUUUUCUUAAGACUGCCAUGAUCAUAUAAAACAUGGGAGCUGCUCCCAGAGGCAUUAUGUGAGAAGCACAUGCUGAAGGAACUUUGUCCCAAGUGUUGAGUAAUCUAGAAGUAAGGCAUCAAUAGAUCUUCAUAUGUAUGCAGACCAUUUCUGGAUAUAUUUUGAAAGUGAUAGAAGGCCACUUUGCUCAGGAAAGCACUUCAUUGCUGAGGAAAAGCAGAGGAUUUUUUAGUAGCUAGCUUUAUACAUAUAAAAUAACCUAACAUGUAGUGUGGAGGCUCUUAGUUAUACAAGGGCCAUACUGCAUGUUAAGUAGGAGUUGUGCAUUUGGAGCUUCUGAUGAAAGUUUAGCUUGCAAGUUUCCCCUUCCAUAGCUUCUAGAAAAAUCUAGACUGGUGUUGUUGUUUUGGCAAAGGGUUGGACUCCUAUGCCUAUGUUAUGACCUUCAAUCCAAACUAGGUCAGAUGAUGGCUGUCUUCGUUUUAUUUUUAAAAUUACACUGGGAUCACCCACCAAGAGCUCCAGCACAGCACAUACCUUUGUGUUUUGCAAUGCAAUUGUUUACAUGUCUACUCAGAAGUUCCACUGACUUCAGUUGGAGAUACUACAGAACUGCAGCCUUGAUUAUGUAGGCUAAAAUUAAGACAAGCAGACAGGUCACAUUAGGUUCAAGCUGUUAGAACUACUGUAUAAAGUUCAGUGGUACCAAAAUUGUGCCUAUCCAGUGAUAUCGGCUUAAACUGCUGUCAGCAAGGCAGAUCCAUUUGUAUUUCUCUCUCUCUUGCUCUCUCUCUCUCUCUCUGUCUAAUACUGUCCAUUAAGAAAAGAUGAACAUUUUUAAAUAGAUUUUUAUGGGAGAGCCACAAUGCACACUUUUUUGGGGGGGGGGACCUUAACUGUACAUAAUCUUUUUGCAUUUCACUCCAAAAUGAUAUGAAGGCUCUUCCCAGAAACUCAGGGCAAAGCAUAAUAUUUUUAUUUUAAGAUGUCAUAAAACACUACCUGUCAUCAGUGAAUAUAAAAGCUCUUUGAAGGCCUUAUUAAAAUGAAAAUCAUUAGUGUCAAAUGAACUCUAAUGCUCCAUUGUGUGAACACAUACUUAAAGGAAGUCUUGAUUAAAUCAUAAUAUAUAUUUUAUGUCUGUUUGCAAAAUACGCAUCCCAGUAAGUAUUCUUAAUAUGGCAGCCUUUACUUAGAAAUUGGGAAUAAUGUUGUAAACUCUACAUAAAAAUAAUUAACAUUCAUAUUAAUAUAUAAACUCUAGUGCUGUUAUAUCUCUUAAACCUGAACAAUAAAAUAAAACAAUUUUCCCUGCAGUGGUAUUCAUCAAAUUUUAGGUUUGUUUUUCUAAUGAACAGAAAAGCUUCUUGUAAUAGGUGGAGACUGUACUGUAAAAGUAAAAACAACAUGUAUCUGAUGAAGUAGCUCUUCUGCAGAAAACAAUGCAACAAUAAAUCUGACUCCUUGUUUUUGAUGCAACAGACUAACUUGGCUACUCCUCCAGGAGUAGUGGGGUCUUUAGUAUAUGCGCUGUUGAAGUGCAAAGAUCUGCCCAGCGCCCCAUUGUGAAUGACAAGUGCUGCUGCUGGCACGGCGUGUCUUUGGUAAAUGAGCGCACAAAGUCAAAAGUCCUUUAGUGAAACAGUAGGUAUACGUUUUGGUAAUACCUAGGUACAGCGGUACCUCGGGUUACAGACGUUUCAGCUUACAGAUGCUUCAGGUUACAGACUCCCGUAACCCAGAAAUAUUACCUCGGGUUAAGAACUUUGCUUCAGGAUGAGAACAAAAAUCGUUCCAGCGGCGCGGCAGCAGCAGGAGGCCCCAUUAGCUAAAGUGGUACCUCAUGUUAAGAACAGUUUCAGGUUAAGAACAGACCUGCAGAAUGAAUUAAGUUCUUAACCUGAGGUACCACUGUAUAUAUGUAUUUUAUUUUUCUAGCUUGAUCAAAAUUAUUUAUUAUUUCAUAACAGGUAGAUAGUUAAGAGCUUAGGCAGCUUCAGCAGUGGGCGCCGGGCGCCUCCAGAAUUCGGCGCCCGAGUGCCCUUGCACCUCCAGGUAAAGACGGCCCUGUCCAGGAGCCAUGUAAGCUUGGAUUUUUGUCUUCUUUUUUCUGCACAAUGUUAGUGAAAUAUAUUACUUUCUUCUAUUUCUUCUAAUUCUUCUAUUUCUUUUUUUAAAAAAAGAUAUUUAUUGAAAUUUUCAAAGUGUUACAAAAAGGAAAAAAUAAAAUAGAAGCAAAAGAGAGUACAAAUAAAAAUAGUUGACAAAGUAGAAAAAGAAAAAAAAAACCCUUCCCACCAUAUGAGUAAAAAUUC